rnacentral:rRNA from 1 species
GACGAACGCUGGCGGCGUGCUUAACACAUGCAAGUCGAACGGAAAGGCCUCUUUCGGGGGGUACUCGAGUUGCGAACGGGUGAGUAACACGUGAGUAACCUGCCCUUGACUUUGGGAUAACUUCAGGAAACUGGGGCUAAUACCGGAUAGGAGCUCCUGCUGCAUGGUGGGGGUUGGAAAGUUUCGGCGGUUGGGGAUGGACUCGCGGCUUAUCCGCUUGUUGGUGGGGUAGUGGCUUACCAAGGCUUUGACGGGUAGCCGGCCUGAGAGGGUGACCGGCCACAUUGGGACUGAGAUACGGCCCAGACUCCGACGGGAGGCAGCAGUGGGGAAUAUUGAACGAUGGGUGGAAGCCGGAUGCAGCAACGCCGGGGGCGGGAUGACGGCCUUCGGGUUGAAAACCGCUUUCGCUCAUGACGAAGCUUUGUGUGACGGUAGUGGGUAAAGAAGCACCGGCUAACUACGUG